CCUGCCUGUAUUUUGGUGGAAAAUCUUAUCUAUUAAAAUGGAUUGAUAAUAAAACAAGGAAGAAGUUUGAUUGCCUCAGUUCAAAUGUAUUAUUAUAAUAUGAUAUUAUGAUGUUUUUUGGUCUGCCUGGUAUCCCCACCUGAAAUCCGCUGUCCCUUCAUUUAGGCUGGGGUUCUUUGUUAGUCAAGUCGAGUCCGCGGUUUGGGCAGUUCACAAGCUAGAGCGCAAAGGACACUGAGCAGCCUGGGACGUUUCGAGAGGAGCAGAGGCAGCCCUAAGGAGAGCGCCUUUAAGCCCCCUCCCUGAGCUGCGGCCGCCAGAGCAGAGAUCAAGUGGGGCUCCUCGGUUCUGGGUGCCGCCGGGCCCGAUGCUCCUUAAUGUCGCUGGAUGGGCAAGGCGCCGGACGCGUGGAACGAGUGGGAUGGCGAGGUCCGCACGUGUUCCCAGGCCACAAAUCUCUCACCCACACGCAGAUGAUCCGCCUUGGUUUCCACUUUUCCUGUAUCUGUUCCUUUCUUUUCUUUCGAUCCUUGUCUAAGUUGGAGGAAAUAUGCUGUAUUUUAGUUUUCUCCCUUUCUUUUUUCUUUUUCAUAAAAUGCACGAGUGUGUGUGUACGUGCACGCGAGAGAAAGAAAUGUAAGCUUUUGCAAAACUCUCUGCCCUCUAUCUUCUUUGAGCGUGCAAAUAAAAGAAACCAGAAGAGCUACUAAAAGGCCAUAGGUCAGAGACACGUGCACACUUUCUCUGGCUUAACAAAACCUGGCUGUCCUUCCCUGCGUGCUUUCCUCAGUUCUUCCGUCUUAGGUCCCGUUAACAAGGGAGAAGGGACAGGAUAAUUUUAAAUGUCCAUUAUUUACAAGCGGUAAAGCUUAGAGAAAGGAAAUGUACCGAGGAAAGAAGGAGGGCUUAACAAGGAUUAUUGUAGUUGGUAUUUGGAGAGGGAAUACAAGCCCGUUCUUCCUCCACCCUAUCCUCACCCCCCACUUCUAUGCACAGAGAGAUUAGAAUGUUUUAAGGCAAAGACUCACUUGAGGGGUUUAUGCCAUUUCUUCAAGG